rnacentral:tRNA from 1 species
GGGAUAGUAGCGCAGGUGGUCAGUUUCGCGUUGGACUGAAAAUCCAAAGAUAGUGGUUCGAUUCCACUCUAUCCCA